rnacentral:misc_RNA from 1 species
UUUUUAAAAGUGGCCCGCAAAAAUGCUACGGUGAAUUGAACUCUGCACCUCUCAAAUUCCAGCUGAGCGCUCUGUACCACUGAGCCAAACGGUCACUGACAGUAAAUCUACAUAUCGCUUAGAAAGAAUUACUAGAAAUUCAAAGCUCACACACACACAUACAUACAUACAUACAUACACACACCGUGAAGAGAGAGACGAAGGUAAGAUGGCUUGUAGCAGCAGCAGAAGAUAUCGAGCUGUACCCUCAAGUUUAUUGUCAAGAUCUAUGCAGAUAUUCUUAACCAACUUAGAAAAUGAUGGUAAAUCUCUACAGUUGUUACCAGUUGACUUACGUGAAAAAUGCCUGAACUAUAUGUCUUUGAGAGGUUUGCUCUCAGAUCAGAACUUGAAGAAUGUAAUCCACAACAACCUCAAAAAACUAGAUCUGUCCGCAUCUUCAGUUACAGAAGCUGGCUUAGUCAACUUAAAUCAAUGUUCUAAACUUCAAAAUCUUAACCUUAGUUCUUACCAUCAAGAAAUUCGAUUUUCAUCACCAUGUCUCAUCAAUUCCAUCAAGCAUUGCCUUUCUAUUCAAGUAUUGAAUCUAAGUCGUUGUCACAAUGUUGAUGAUGCUACUGUGGUUGCUUUGUCUAGAUCCUGCCGGAAUAUUCAUUGUUUAAAUUUAAGCCAAUGUUCCAAAGUCACAGACGUAGCAAUGCAAGCUCUGGGAGAAAAUUGCCAUUACUUGAGGAGUAUAGACUUCAGUAGAAAUUCAAUCACUGACGCUGGGAUUGCUUCCCUGGUUGCAGGUUGUUGUCAUAACACACUUGAGGAGAUGGUCCUUCGGAAUAUUGAAAAGAUAUCUAACAAAUCAGUAGAACUUGUACUAAAAUUCUGCCCCAAGUUAACAAUUGUUAACUUCAGUGGCUGCCCCAACAUCCAAGAUGUUAAUUACAGUAGAUAUUCUAACAACACAUUAAAACAGAUUGGUUGGACCAUUCCUAUCUGAAGCAGAACAAGUCACCCAACACAAGUGUCUCCGACAGCAAUUCAUUUACUUUGGCCUUCACAGUUCAGGAAUUUCAUGGAUCUCAUAUUUUCAUGGUGAACUACAUUUUUCAAUAAUAUCAACACACCUACACAAAUAUGUGCAUUUGCACACCUAUACAAAAACUUGCUCAAAUGUGUUUUAAACAAGAACACAAAUUUUUUUUUAUGCAUAUAUAAUGUGUUUGCUCACACAUAUUUCUCUUUUUUUUUUUUUUUUUUUGAAUAAUAAAACUGAUCUUGUUUAAAGUAUUUUCACAGAAUGUAUCAAAUAUUCAAUUUUUUUAGAAAUUGUUGUUUUUAUUAUCUUCUCUAAAACUUGAGUGUAAACUUCAGUUUCUGUCAAACUAAGAUCUGGUUUCCAUUCCUACUCAGAACUAUUCCGUUAAUGUGGAAUUUAAACUAGCCAUAUCUGACCAAAAUGUUCUACCAAUUUUAUGUUCAAACUGACCAGAUCCAUCCUUUCAUACUUACCCCACAAUGUUAAUCUUCAAUAUUUCCAUUUCAAAUAGUUUUUUUUCUACCUAUAUAGGCACAGGUGUGGCAAGAUUAAUCUUCAAUAUUUCCAUUUCAAACAGAUUUUUUUUUUCUACCUAUAUAGGCACAGGUGUGGCUGUGUGAUAAAAAGCUUGCUUUCUAACCACAUGGUUCAGUUCUACUACAUGGCACCUUGGACAAGUGUCUUCUACUAUAGCCUCAUACCAACCAAAGCCUUGUGAAUGGAUUUGGUUGAUGGAAACUGGAAGAAGCCCGUUGAUUUAGCUGAUAUUUCUGAUGGUGUGUAUUUAAUUAUCUAUUAUCAUCUCUACAUUGUCUCUGUUCGUUUACUGAGGAUAUUGGGAGCGACUAAACAGACUGCUUUUGUCUAUGUUGUUGCUGUUCAAGGUAAUGUGGCCAAAGACGGCAAAUAGAAGAGAGAAUCAGAGCGAAAGGUGAGAAAAGGAUGAUAGAAAAUGAUAGGAAGCUACAGGUUAGCUGAGGGAAAGAUAAGCAAGAAGGUAGUCUAUGAGUCUGGAGAGAUUAAAAAAAAACAAUAAACAAUUCAGUGAACCCAUCACUGUAUCCAGUAAUUACUUUUAUUUACAAAACUAACGAAGCUUUUGAUAUGGUGUUCGGUGGGGUGAGAGCAAUAAUUCGGGUCUGGAUAAGUUGGUUAAAUUGUUUUUCUUUUUUUAUGAAGAAUAAAAUUAUUAAAAAAAAAAAAUUAAAAUUAUAAAAAGAAAAGAAAUAAACAUUUCCCAUGGUCCUUCAUUGAACUAUUAAUAUAAAAGAGAAAACUUAAGUGACAGUAGUUGAUGAAAUGCAUUCACUUAACCUUGUUUAACACAGUUUAACCGAUAUGAAGGACUCUUGCAGCCAUGUAAAGUAUUGCCAAUAUAUGUUCGUUGUAUUUCAUAAUUAUUUUCAAGUGACCUUAAAUUCAAGCUUCCAUAAAAAUUCUCACAAUACCCGAAUGAAAUGCAGAAAAACAUUUUAGUUGCGUUUCACAUGGUUCUGAAGCUCAGACGUGGUUAUUUGUUUGAAAUUUCUUCUUGUUUUAUACUAAAUAUAUCUCAAACUGGAGUCAAGUCCUGCUCUGAAUGAAAUGGUUUUGUGUAUGUUAAAAUAAUAAUACUUUCUGCUACAAUAUUUUUAAACACUUAUAUUUUAGAUUUAGACGAUUCAUUAACAUUUAAUUCUAAGCUCAUAAAAUGUGUGUUUAAAAUUAAGUUUAUACUUGUUUUAAAAAUCUACAAAAGAUGUAUUGAUAAAAUAUACAUAUGCUCCGGCACAUACACAGUCCAAGCUAGAAUAAGUAAUCUGUCCAUUAAAAGAUUACGAUAUAACAAAAAAUUCUUACAAAAGUAUAAAAAAAAAUUUUUCUUUCAAAUUAAAGACGAAAAAAAAGUUUAAAAUCCAGUUUCUUCUUCUCAAGGAUUUUUUAUUCUGCUGCGAACAUUUUCAGGCUUGACUUCAACUAAACAUUUCUGAGCUGGGAAUUUUCUCUCUAAUUUGGAACAGUCACAAUUCAUAUUUUGAUUGGCCUUUCUUUAAAUUUCUAAUUUCUUAAGUUAAUAAAUGGUUUGUUGCUACCAUACGGUCUAUUCAUUCGUUUUUGCAGCAGUUUGUUAUUGGAAUCUUUUGGGUUCUUCACAUGAUAAUGGUAGUCUACUCGCAUACUCUGGAGGGCGUUAGUCAUCUCUUCCUGUAAUUACACAAAACAAUCAUCUUAAUUUUUUUCAUUUAUAAGGAAGACAAAAUUUGUAUAAAUAUUUCAGCUGAAUGACUUGAAUUCAUCCAGCACAUUUUUAAAGAGAAAUGGUAAAUUCUGUUACUUAAGUCAUGUGACUAGAACAGAA